AUUGAACGCUGGCGGCAUGCCUUACACAUGCAAGUCGAACGGUAACGCGGGGCAACCUGGCGACGAGUGGCGAACGGGUGAGUAAUGUAUCGGAACGUGCCCAGUUGUGGGGGAUAACUGCUCGAAAGAGCAGCUAAUACCGCAUACGACCUGAGGGUGAAAGCGGGGGAUCGCAAGACCUCGCGCAAUUGGAGCGGCCGAUAUCAGAUUAGGUAGUUGGUGAGGUAAAGGCUCACCAAGCCGACGAUCUGUAGCUGGUCUGAGAGGACGACAAGCCACACUGGGACUGAGACACGGCCCAGACUCCUACGGGAGGCAGCAGUGGGGAAUUUUGGACAAUGGACGCAAGUCUGAUCCAGCCAUGCCGCGUGCGGGAAGAAGGCCUUCGGGUUGUAAACCGCUUUUGUCAGGGAAGAAACGCUCUGGGUUAAUACCUCGGGGUAAUGACGGUACCUGAAGAAUAAGCACCGGCUAACUACGUGCCAGCCGCCGCCGUAAUAC
rnacentral:rRNA from 1 species